UAUGGCCACAUCAUGUUGAAACACAAGUUCCCAUACGAUCACCAAAGUUAAGCAACAUCAAGCUUGGUCAGUACCUAGAUGGGUGAGUGCUUGGGAAUACCAGAUGAUGU